CAUCCAGCCCAAGUGGGAAUGCAAUCCAGUCCACAGUCAGUUCCCCCAAGCCACCAGCAGAGGGCGCCUUUUAUUAAUGCUCACAGAGACAUCGUGCGGGCUCAUCACUGCCUUCGCCGAGCCCAGACGCAGAGGACUUUGGAUUUCUAACCGCACCGGACAUAAGAGGAGCAGCUUCCAGCCCAUCGCUUCCCGGGAAAGGCCAGGCAGGAUCCAGGACGCAAGGAGUUACACCCACAGCAACAUUUCCGUGAAUGGCUGUCAUAUAUGAAACACCUAAAUUCCGGCACUUAGUAGGGACUUUCUGCCCAGCAACCCUCCCAUUUUACAGGUAUUCCGACAUCACUUCAAAAAUCCAGUGCCCGGGAGGGGAAAGGAGGGAUUCAUUUGACCAAAAAUAUUAAAUAGCCCCAUU